rnacentral:rRNA from 1 species
GCGCAUGAGGUGCCUAGUGCCGUUGUAAAACGUGGGUGAGAAGGGGUGUUCGGUGUUGCUGGGCGUAAAGGGCGGUCAGGCGGUUAGGCUAGUCGGGCAUGAAAUCGCCUGGCGCAAGCAGGAGGAGCUGGCCGAUACGUACAGACUGGAGGGCAGUAGAGGGUGGUGGAAUUCCGGGUGUAGUGGUGAAAUGCGUAGAGAUCCGGAGGAACACCUGUGGCGAAAGCGACCACCUGGACUGCUCCUGACGCUGAAACGCGAAAGCUAGGGGAGCGAACGGGAUUAGAUACCCUGGUAGUC